rnacentral:rRNA from 1 species
GACAGAGGCCUCAAGCGUUAGGCGGAAUCACUGGGCUUAAAGCGUGUGUAGGCGGAUCGUUAAGUACCUUGUGAAAUCCCACGGCUCACCCGUGGAACUGCUGGGUAUACUGGCGGUCUUGGGCCAACUAGGGGCAGCUGGAACAAGCGGUGGAGCGGUGAAAUGCGUAGAUAUCGCUUGGAACGCCGAAGGUGAAAACAGGCUGCUGGGGUUGUGCCGACGCUGAGACACGAAGCCAGGGGAGCAAACGGG